rnacentral:rRNA from 1 species
CCUACGUGUGGCAGCAGUGGGGGAUAUUGCACAAUGGGGGGAACCCUGAUGCAGCGACGCCGCGGGGGUGAAGAAGCGCCUCGGCGCGUAAAGCCCUGUCAGCAGGGAAGAAAAUGACGGUACCGGAAGAAGAAGCCACGGCUAACUACGUGCCAGCAGCCGCGGAAAUACGUAGGGGGCAAGCGUUAUCCGGAUUUACUGGGUGUAAGGGGGGCGCAGACGGCGAUGCAAGCCAGGAGUGAAAGCCCGGGGCCCAACCCCGGGACUGCUCUUGGAACUGCGUGGCUGGAGUGCAGGAGGGGCAGGCGGAAUUCCUGGUGUAGCGGUGAAAUGCGUAGAUAUCAGGAGGAACACCGGUGGCGAAGGCGGCCUGCUGGACUGCAACUGACGUUGAGGCCCGAAAGCGUGGGGAGCAAACAGGAUUAGAUACCCUAGUAGUC